CGUGUAGGCGGCCUCUUAAGUCUGGUGUGAAAGCCCGGGGCUUACCCCCGGAAGUGCACUGGAAACUGGGAGGCUAGAGUACCGGAGAGGAGGGUGGAAUUCCUGGUGUAGCGGUGAAAUGCGUAGAUAUCAGGAGGAACACCGGUGGCGAAGGCGGCCCUCUGGACGGAUACUGACGCUGAGACGCGAAAGCGUGGGGAGCAAACAGGAUUAGAUACCCUGGUAGUCCACGCCGUAAACGAUGGGCACUAGGUGUUCGGGGUAUUGACCCCCUGAGUGCCGCAGCUAACGCAUUAAGUGCCCCGCCUGGGGACUACGGCCGCAAGGUUAAA
rnacentral:rRNA from 1 species